ACUUAGGAUGACGCCAUCAUUUUUCCCCAAACACCUGUGAGAAGUGUACAUAGUUUCUCUAAAAUGAACUUUAAUGAGAAGAAUUUUGCAUAAAAUAACGUAUAACAUUGUCUUAAGCUCUUAGAAGAACUUCUAACUGACCUUAAACUGCCCUCUACAGCCUCAAGUACCAUAUGCUGGACACAACAAAAUCAGUUCUACCUACAGUAUGCUAACUUGAAACUCGGGGUUUCUCAGAGUCUCCUGCAAGUGCCAGAUGAAGCUGUGUUGAUCAGAUAUUUUGUAAGCACUGAAAGACUCAGACUUUCAAUUCAGCUGAAUAGAAGUGAAGCCCUGAUUGAGUGGUUCAGCUCAGCACAAAGAACUAGAGCACAAUGAGGAGUUCUCCUUUGUUAGUAAUCCCGCCGCACCUCUCUUCAAGCUAUUUUGUUAUUUGCCAGUCUUACAGAAACCCAGAGGGAUUCCUCACAUGACAACCUGCUUUUUUUCGAAGAGGAAGAUUUUAGCAAUCCAUGCUAAGUGCAAGAAACAGCAAGUACUGCGCUGAGUGUUUUCUGGUCCUUCUGUGAAAAGUGUGGGAGAACAGAAUGGAGAGACUAUCAGGCAAGAUGGCUGUGACUCCUGGUCCACUGAAUAUUAGCCAUGAGAUCAAACUCCCUGCAGCAGACAAGGGAAUAAAAUCUGUUUUACAUCAGAACUGAGUCUGCUAUCACUGAGCUACUGUGUGGUUUCAGCAGAGCCCUCAUGUUGGAUGUCAGUCAUGUCCUCACUCUGCUUUUCCAGAUUCCAGAAUAUCUCAGGGAUGCUGCAGCACAGGUUGAACUACUACGGCAGGCAUUGUCAAUCCUCCAUAAUGCAGAACUAGGGAAGCCAUAAGGAGCAUUUCAUAUUAAAAAGGCAGCUCUGCAGUGAAUAGGGCUACGCCAGAGCUGGGAGAGCACUCAAAACAGGUUUGGAAGGUCACACCUAGGUAUUUAGGAUGAAACUAGGCAGGACCUAAGACCUUAGGUUCUACUGUAAAGCCGCCCUUGAUGGCUGCAGUGUUGCAGCAUGUGCUCCCUCAGUACAAUACUGAGGCACUGAUACAGAUAGACCUAAUACUGCCUAUUUAAAGCACAGCUAAAAUUUCUGCAAUAAUACUUUCUUCAGCUUAUAUGUUAUUAUACUUUAUUCAUUGUUACUUCUUCCUGAUAGUGCAUUGUUCUGAUGUCCUGAUUUAGCUGAUGUAAAUAGUCCUAGCUUUUACAAGGUAGUAUGGUGGAUUGCUCAUCACAGCAGUAAAAAAAUUGGUACCAAAAACCUAAAAAAUUAGUCUCUCAAUCCUUACUAAAUAUAUAUAUGUAUAUAAAUAUAUUAUCUUCUAAGUCUGUCAAAAGAAGACAGCGUCUUAAGAUUUUAAAGCUCCCAGUCACUCUGAUUUUUCUCUUCAGUAAUUACCCAAAGAAGUUCACCACUAAAAUUAGAUAUAACUUAAUAAUAAUUCCGGGUCAAAUUUGAAUGAGUAUGACGUCUUCAGAAUGACAGAGAAAUUUUCCAGGAAGGUUCAACUAUUUUUUGAGGAUUGAGAAAAGUUGUAUUCUAAAAUACAAGCUGGGGCAGUUUUAUUUCCUAGACAAUGAAAGUUUUGCAGUAGUAGUUUCCUUUUCCUCCUCCCAAUCUGUUACAAAUCUUCUCUUAUGAGGAGGCUGGCUUCAAGGCAGGGACGCUCAUUGUCAGCAUUCACUGGCCAGUCAUAGUCUCUCCUCUUCUUAGCUAACACCAGAAUUUCCAAUAAAAGUCAUCGGUUAUCAAGCAUCAGGGUAACACUGGCUUUCCCAAAACUGCCAUCCAGUUUCUUCUUCAGAUUUGCAAGAACCCUCAAGAAAAGCUUGCUGGUUUGCCUAACACAGUAAUAUGCUGAGGGCUGUGAAUCUUAGUUAGCCUUCAGAAAAGCUUCAGGCAUAGCAGAGGUAAAGCUCUGCUCUAGUAAAGUACUUAUGCGUAUGUUUAAUUUCAGUCAUGCAAGAAAUCUUAUCCGAUGAAAUUUGCUGUGUUGGAGACUACAUGAUCUGAGACAUUUUGGGAUGCAGCAGAUGUGAGCAGCAACAUAAGAAAGAAUUGAACCCACUCUGAAUGCUAGGCAGUAGUAUGGAUUUUAUGGAUUCCUCACUGUCACCCUUGCUGUCACGUUAGUGA